rnacentral:lncRNA from 1 species
ACUUAGUUAAUGAUGCAGCAGUACAGGGAAGGCCAUCACAUGUGAACUGGAAGGGAGCCAACAUGGAGACACAGAGAAAGCAAGGUAAACAACUUUCCAACGCCAAAAGGAUGACAUUUAAUCUCUAAAUGUUAGCUUCCCACCUAGACUCAUCUUUAACCCUUCUGCUGGUCCCACAGAUCCCAGGAGCUUCACUACCUGUCUCCACAGAGCUCCUAACAAGAUGCAACAGUGACUGCGUCAUCAUUCCCCACUUUUCUCAACUACGCAGUGACAACCUCCCAGCAUCACCCCACUUCUCUCAGCCCACACCCUACCCUAUGCCGAUGCUCUUCCACCACCCCAGAUGCCCACAACUAGACGUUUUAAUAAGAGAAUGCCUGGAAAAACAGUCCCUCUUGCCUGCUUCUUGUCACUUCUCACUCUCUUCCUUUCCCAUAAGCCUGCACAGAUGGACACUGACACCCAAACAACCUGGAAAACCAGUCUCUCCAUCCACCAACAGAAAACAGGGUAAAGGGUGAAAGGUUAAGUGGGAAGCCGGGGAUGGUUCACUCCUCUCCUCUAUCCUGGUCAGACUUAAAUAGAUGACACUAAGGGAGAAGAAAUUAAAGUAAAAA